rnacentral:rRNA from 1 species
AUUGAACGCUGGCGGCAGGCCUAACACAUGCAAGUCGAGCGAGCGGCGGACGGGUGAGAAAUGUAUGGGGACUGCACGAUAGAGGGGGAUAACUACUGGAAACGGUGGCUAAUACCGCAUACUAUCGGAUAACCCAUAUGGGAUUAGCUAGUAGGUGGGGUAAAGGCUCCACUAGGCGACGAUGUCUAGCUGGUCUGAGAGGAUGAUCAGCCACACGGGGACUUGGACCCGGCCAAGACUCCUACGGACGCCGCAGUGGUGAAUAUUGCACAAUGGGCGGAAGCCUGAUGCAGCCAUGCGGCGUGUAUGAAGAAGGCCUUAGGGUUGUAAAGUACUUUCAGCGGGGAUGCGUUACCCGCAGAAGAAGCACCGGCUAACUCCGUGCCAGCAGCCGCGGUAAUAC